CCCCAGGCCAUUCCCCCAUUAUUGUCUGUCCACGGGCUAUCCAUAUAUGCAUAUAAGUUCUUUGUUUAAUCUCUUCC